rnacentral:rRNA from 1 species
ACUCAAAUGAAUAGACGGGGACCCGCACAAGCGGUGGAGGAUGUGGUUUAAUUCGACGCAACGCGAAGAACCUUACCAAGACUUGACAUCUACCGAAAGGGUUAGAAAUAAUCUUGUGCCUGAAAGGGAACGGUAAGACAGGUGGUGCAUGGCUGUCGUCAGCUCGUGUCGUGAGAUGUUGGGUUAAGUCCCGCAACGAGCGCAACCCUCGAUGUUAGUUACCAUCAUUAAGUUGGGGACUCUAACGUGACUGCCGGUGAUAAGCCGGAGGAAGGUGAGGACGACGUCAAGUCAUCAUGCCCCUUACGUCUUGGGCUACACACGUCCUACAAUGGCAUAGACAAAGGGCAGCAAGCUAGCAAUGGUGAGCGAAUCCCAUAAACUAUGUCUCAGUUCGGAUUGCAGGCUGCAACUCGCCUGCAUGAAGUCGGAAUCGCUAGUAACCGUAGAUCAGCACGCUACGGUGAAUACGUUCCCGGGUCUUGUACACACCGCCCGU